UUGGUAUUGUUGGGAAAGAGGGGUUUUGGGGAAUGAAUAAAAUUUUGGAAGCCAGAUGCUAGAAUCUACCAGAGAACUCUCACAAUGGCCAUGAAGACCCACCGAGGCCUCAGAGAUCCAGGCAUUAAUCCAAGGAGAUGCUGGAGUUGUGGCUGAGGAACUGGGGCUGGUGUGUGGGGAGCCAAUGCUCGCUCCAAUGGACAUCUACUGUUUGGUCUUCCCAAAACCUCUCUUUCAGGAAUCAACUCUCCCAUACCCAAACUACAAGGCUGCAGUGGGAAAUGCCAUGUUUCUACAAUAUGACCCUAGUCCCUGGUCACUUGAUUGGUCCAGGGUCAGGCACUUAACCCAUACCAGAACAAUAAUGUUUCUGGUUUUUCCAACCAGGGAUAGAGAUGAGAGAAGAAGAGCUAUGUUAACUUCUCUCCAGCUGAUUGGUCCAAUAACAUGUAACUCUUAAGUUCUUUUGACAGCCAUAUUUUCCCCCCUGUGUGAAAGUAACAAGCAGGAGAAACUGAUCUAAUGAGAGAAUGAAAGAUGAGGAGAUUCCCAGUGUCAUCUGAGUUUCUGAUUCUGCUCCAUGGCAUAUAGUAUUUCAUUCCUGAGGUCAAGCUCUAAUCUAGUCCUUUGUCUCUGUGGCAUGCCCCUGUAUCGUUAUAAUUAAGUUUCCCCUUCUUGAUAAUGCAGGUGGAUUUUUGUUAUUUGUAAUCCAAAAAAGCUAAGGAAUAAUGUGAACUUUCUUACCAGAUACAUUCAUUCAUUCAAGUGCAUCCUUUUUGUGCCACCUCCAUGCUUGGUUACCAUGAAGGUGCUGGAAAUCCAAUGAUCAAUAAUAUAGACAUAGUAUCUACCCUCAGGGACCUUAUACUUGGAGGUGGGAAAACAGGUUAGGGCAGGGCAGACCUGGAACACAUACUAUACAGGUAAACUCCGGGUUUCUGAGAACAUACAACAAGAUUAUGAGAGUGUACAAGGUGAGAACUAAAGGAAUGAGCAGGAGUUGACUGGAACGAGUUAGGAAUUACGAUGUAAAGGAGGGAGAGCAUCCCAGUCUGGAAAAAGAGCAUGAAUAAUCUACCAUGAAGCCAGCAUCCUCUACAAAGAAAGCAACAUUUCAGUUAAGCGUCCUGGUUUCUCAUCUACGCCUACUUUGGGCCCUCUGCUAAUACACUGGUAAGAAAACUCUUUCCUUUUGCCCAGAAGCAACCGCCUUGUCUUUUCCAGAUUCUUCUAUUCCUUAUUGAGCGAUUACAAAGGGAGAAACACAAAAUGCCCCCUCUCAUUGAUUCCCAUUUGGUAGAGAAAGCUAGAUUUCAUCCUAAUAGCCGCUAUCCUCACCUUCCUUAUUACUAUGUUAGGGGCAGCAAAGUGGCUGGCUAAUAAAACCACAUUUCCCAACCUUCCUUGUAGAGGGGGAUGGCUAAGGAGAGGUCACUGGAAGUGAUUGGAUGAGGUUUUUAGAAAGCUGUUUAAAGGGGUUAACUUAGCUAGCAAGCACCUCUUUGUCCUUUCCCCCUGUUCUUGCUUAUUUGUCCCUGGGACCAGGACUUGAUGGAUGGAGCUCCAGCAGUCAUUUUCAUCUCCGAGUUGAAGUCAUGUGCUAAGAAUGGCAGAGCAGAAGGCAGGAUUCCAGUUUUGGAAACUUGUAGAGUCCCCACACCAGCCUGGCCUGCCUGGAGACAGUUUAUCAUUUGAGAAAAUAAGUGGAAGCUCAGAAAAGUUAAGGGAAAGUCACACAGCAGUACAUUAGAGCCGGGAAGCUCCACUUCCUAGAAUUCCUUGCAGCUGGCAUUCCAAAUGUGGUUUAGAAACUGCCAAUUAAAUGAACUUACAUGAGACUGGAUCCUGGAACUAAGAGGGGGAGAGGCAGCAGACAGACUGCCACGUGCUGUGCCUCAUUUGAAUGUAUCUGGAGUUUUGGAAGCUUGACCACCCUACAUUCUCCUACAAAUGGACCUCCAGAGCUUGUUUGGAGAGGAGCGCAGCUACUCCUAUACCCUUGAUGGAAGGCCGAUCCUCUAUCCGGGAAGGCCUACCGAGCCCCGGGCCGGAACGCCGCCGCGUCCCCCCACCCAUCAAAUCAGCAACCAGCGUCUCUCUGCGCCACCGCGUGUAGGCCCAGGCCCGUACCCCAGUCCUUCAGCACCGGAGGAAGUGGUGGCGCCUCUGGAGGGCAGCCAGGAGGAGGAGG